rnacentral:rRNA from 1 species
AUUGAACGCUGGCGGCAUGCCUUACACAUGCAAGUCGAACGGUAACGGGCCUUCGGGUGCCGACGAGUGGCGAACGGGUGAGUAAUGCAUCGGAACGUACCCAUUAGUGGGGGAUAACUCUCCGAAAGGAGGGCUAAUACCGCAUAUUCUGUGAGCAGGAAAGCAGGGGAUCGCAAGACCUUGCGCUGAUGGAGCGGCCGAUGUCAGAUUAGCUAGUUGGUGAGGUAAAGGCCCACCAAGGCGACGAUCUGUAGCGGGUCUGGGAGGAUGAUCCGCCACACUGGAACUGAGACACGGUCCAGACUCCUACGGGAGGCAGCAGUGGGGAAUUUUGGACAAUGGGGGCAACCCUGAUCCAGCCAUGCCGCGUGAGUGAAGAAGGCCUUCGGGUUGUAAAGCUCUUUCGGCCGGGAAGAAAUCGCAUGGGUUAAUACCCUGUGUGGAUGACGGUACCGGAAUAAGAAGCACCGGCUAACUACGUGCCAGCAGCCGCAGUAA